rnacentral:rRNA from 1 species
CGCGAAAGUGGAGCAAUCCAUGAGUAGAGUGGCAAACGGGUGAGUAACACGUGGGUGACCUGCCUUCGAGCGGGGGAUAACGUUCCGAAAGGGACGCUAAUACCGCAUAACAUCCUGCCUUUUAAGAGGUGGAGAUCAAAGCCGGGGAUUCGCAAGAACCUGGCACUUGAAGAGGGGCCCGCGCCUGAUUAGCUAGUUGGUGGGGUAAUGGCUCACCAAGGCAACGAUCAGUAUCCGGCCUGAGAGGGCGGACGGACACACUGGGACUGAGACACGGCCCAGACUCCUACGGGAGGCAGCAGUGGGGAAUUGUUCGCAAUGGGCGCAAGCCUGACGACGCAACGCCGCGUGGAGGAUGAAGACCUUCGGGUCGUAAACUCCUUUCGAUCGAGACGAAUGUUUUUCGGGUGAACAAUCCGGAAAAGUGACGGUACCGAGAGAAGAAGCCCCGGCUAACUCUGUGCCAGCAGCCGCGGUAAUACAGGGGGGGCAAGCGUUGUUCGGAAUUACUGGGCGUAAAGGGCUCGUAGGUGGCCAACUAAGUCGGACGUGAAAUCCCUCAGCUUAACUGGGGAACUGCAUCCGAUACUGGAUGGCUUGAGUUUGGGAGAGGGAUGCGGAAUUCCAGGUGUAGCGGUGAAAUGCGUAGAUAUCUGGAGGAACACCGGUGGCGAAGGCGGCAUCCUGGACCAACACUGACACUGAGGAGCGAAAGCCAGGGGAGCAAACGGGAUUAGAUACCCCGGUAGUCCUGGCCCU